rnacentral:rRNA from 1 species
AUACGGAGGGAGCUAGCGUUGUUCGGAAUUACUGGGCGUAAAGCGUACGCAGGCGGCUUGGUAAGUAGAGGGUGAAAUCCCAGAGCUCAACUCUGGAACUGCCCCCUAAACUGCCGAGCUAGAAUCCUGGAGAGGUGAGUGGAAUUCCUAGUGUAGAGGUGAAAUUCGUAGAUAUUAGGAAGAACACCAGUGGCGAAGGCGACUCACUGGACAGGUAUUGACGCUGAGGUACGAAAGCGUGGGGAGCGAACAGGAUUAGAAACCCUUGUAGUCC